GCCUCCGUAGUUUAACGGAUAAAACAGUCCGCUACGAACGGACAACUCGUGGUUCGAUUCCAUGCGGGGGCACCA
rnacentral:tRNA from 1 species